rnacentral:lncRNA from 1 species
UUCGGUUUCUUUUUCCUUAUUCGAUUUUCAUUUCCCUAUACAGUUUCGAUUUCCUUAUUCGAUUUCCAUUUCCUUAUUCGAUUUUCAUUUCCUUAUUCGGUUUCUUUUUCCUUUUUCAAUGUUCAUUUCCUUUUUCGGUUUCUAUUUCCUGAUUGGAUGUUCUUUUCCUUAUUCGAUUUCCAUUUCCUUAUUCAAUUUCCAUUUCCUUAUUCGGUUUCUUUUUCCUUUUUCAAUGUUCAUUUCCUUUUUCGGUUUCUAUUUCCUUAUUGGGUUUCUAUUUCCUUAUUGGGUUUCUAUUUCCUUAUUGGAUUUUCGUUUCCUUAUUCGAUUUCCAUUUCCUUAUUCGAUUUCCAUUUCCUAAUUCGGUUUCUUUUUUCCUUUUUCAAUAUUCAUUUCCUUUUUCGGUUUCUAUUUCCUUAUUCGGUUUCUAUUUCCUUAUUCAGUUUCCAUUUCCUUAUUGGAUUUUCAUUUCCUUAUUGGAUUUUCAUUUCCUUAUUCGGCUACUUUUUCCUU